CACAAUGUUACAGCCAAUCGAAGAGUGUUAUGGCCGCGUGGUCACGUGCCUCGUGUACCUGGCUUCGCUUUGCGGGGACGUCUUCUGGACAGCGUCCAUCCUAAAUGCACUAGGAACAAGCUUGAGUAUAAUACUCGCCAUCAACGUUGAGACGGCCAUUGUGGUGUCUGCCAGUAUCACUGUUAUCUACAUUAUGAUUGGUCAGAUGAUUUCAGUUGCAUAUACUGACAUAGUACAACUAAUUCUGAUCACCGUGGCCUGGUAUGGAUAAUUUAUUUUCAUAAGAAAGGCUUUCCCUUACGCCUUAGUGUUCACAAACCAGUAUAUCACCACCGGUUUGUGUUUUUUACCUCAACAAUCGAGUGCUUUGGAUCUAGGAAUAAUGUUGAUUGAAAAAGUGUAGUCAUUUACCUGAUAAAGGAGUAAUACUAUACUGUGAAGCGUCAUGCUCCUCAAAAUAAAGAAGCUGGUGUCCAUAAGAUAUUUCAGUGAUAUUGCAGGUGCUUGCAAUUCCAUUCGUGGUGACGGACGAUCGUGUGGGUGACGUCAGCACAACGUCAGAAACGUGGCUUGGCUCCCUGGAUGGCCGACAUGCUGUGGCCUGGGUUGACCUUGCCCUUGCUAUGAUAUUCGGCACCAUUCCCUGGCAAUCGUACUUCCAGCGUGUGUUGUCAGUCCGGAGUGUAAAACAGGCCCUGGUGCUCUCUGUUCUGGCCGGGAUGGGUGCUCUGAUCCUAGCUGUUCCCCCAUUCCUUAUCGGUGCUCUCAGCAC